rnacentral:rRNA from 1 species
AAGCGUUGUCCGGAUUUAUUGGGCGUAAAGAGCUCGUAGGUGGUUCGGUAAGUCAGGUGUGAAACCUCCAGGCUCAACCUGGAGACGCCACUUGAUACUGCUGUGACUGGAGUCCGGUAGGGGAGCGUGGAAUUCCUGGUGUAGCGGUGAAAUGCGCAGAUAUCAGGAGGAACACCAGCGGCGAAGGCGGCGCUCUGGGCCGGUACUGACACUGAGGAGCGAAAGCGUAGGUAGCAAACAGG